rnacentral:tRNA from 1 species
GGCCUUAUAUUCAACAAUGAUUUUAAAUUGCAAGUUUAAAGGAGGAGAGAUCCUAAGGCUU